GGGUAAGUAGGUUGGUCGUGCCACCGGUACGUACUGGUCUCACUGAUUCCUCCUUCCUGAAGAGCCGUAAUGCCAUUAAUUUGGUGUUGCGGGGAAACAGGACAGUUACUUUGAAAAAAUUAGAGUGUUUAAAGCAAGCUAACGCUUGGAUACAUUAGCAUGGAAUAAUGAAAUAGGACGAUCGAUCCUAUUUUGUUGGUUUCUAGGAUUGACGUA
rnacentral:rRNA from 1 species